rnacentral:rRNA from 1 species
AUGGCCAGCAGAAUGAAAUCUGAAUCUCAUUGCCUCCCUCCUUUGGGAGCCACCGUUUCACGCACCGAGCUCAUGGCCUUGUCCCCUCCUAACCAAGAACACACAGACAUGACCAUGAUCCAUCCUAAAAGAUUUUCUCAGUUGGUGAGGAAGUGGCAAAGGGUCAGGACAAUAUCCAGCGACAACAAAGCAGGCUGCACGACACCACAGGGCACAGAUAAAGGCCACUACACCGUGUACAUGGCCAAUGCCAGGAGGUUUAAGUUCUCCUUGACUUACCUCAACAAGACGAUCUUCGGCGAGCUGCUAAGGAUGCCCCAGGAGGAGUUUGGGCUUACAUGCGAUGGCAGGAUCACACUGCCCUUCGAUGCAGUGGUCAUGGAGUAUGCCAUGUGCUUGCUCAGAACAAAUGCAUCAGAGGAAGUAGAGAGGCCGUUCCUGAGCUCUAUAGUGAUGCCUUGCCAAAUCCAAGUAUAG